rnacentral:lncRNA from 1 species
UCACCGCUACCCUUUUCGAUUGAUCUGAACCCCAUAACGCAUGUCAAGGCUCUGCCCGACUAAGUUCGUUUGGAUUCUGUCUCGGGACUUUGGGACAAGGUUAAAUUAGGGGUACUAUACUUAACACGAGUAUAUUAUAUAUAUAUUUUUAGCCCAAAGGUUAUACCCAAAAUUUAUACCAGGAGUCCUUCUAAUUGAACCCUAAAGUUACACAGUGGGUCCAUUCCUUUUCUCACCAUUUUAUUCUCUUUUUGCCAAUGGUUAUUACAAUAGAUUGGAGUAAGGAUUGGAUCCGACACUGAAGGACUUCAAGAAGUGGCUUAUUUUAUUA